ACGGCUCAGUAACACGUGGCUAACCCACCCUUGAGACGGAGAAAACCCCGGGAAACUGGGGUUAAUCUCCGAUAAGAGAAGACACCUGGAAUGGGUCUCCUCUCAAAGGGCGCCUAGACCAUGCUCCUAGGCGUUGCUCAAGGACGGGGCCGCGGCCGAUCAGGUUGUUGGUGAGGCAACGGCUCACCAAGCCUAUAACCGGUACGGGCCGUGAGAGCGGGAGCCCGGAGAUGGGCACUGAGAUAAGGGCCCAGGCCCUACGGGGCGCAGCAGUUGCGAAAACUCCGCAAUGCACGAAAGUGUGACGGGGCUACCCCGAGUGCCGUCCGCUGAGGACGGCUUUUCCCCGGUGUAAGGAGCCGGGGGAAUAAGGAGAGGGCAAGUCUGGUGUCAGCCGCCGCGGUAAUACCAGCUCUCCGAGUGGUAGGGAUGAUUAUUGGGCUUAAAGCGUCCGUAGCCGGCCCGGCAAGUCUUCCGUUAAAUCCAACGAUUCAAUCGUUGGACUGCAGGAGAUACUGUUGGGCUAGGAGGCGGGAGAGGCCGACGGUAUUCUCGGGGUAGGGGUAAAAUCCUAUAAUCCCGGGAGGACCACCAGUGGCGAAGGCGGUCGGCUAGAACGCGCUCGACGGUGAGGGACGAAAGCUGGGGGAGCGAACCGGAUUAGAUACCCGGGUAGUCCCAGCUGUAAACGAUGCGGGCUAGGUGUUGGGGCGGCUACGGGCCGCUUCAGUGCCGCAGGGAAACCAUUAAGCCCGCCGCCUGGGGAGUACGGCCGCAAGGCUGAAACUUAAAGGAAUUGGCGGGGGAG
rnacentral:rRNA from 1 species